GCCCCCGUUGUCUAAUGGUUAUGACGUCAGACUUCUAUGUUAAAUAAUCCAACAGGCGUGAAAAUCUGGAGGUUGCGGGUUCGAGUCCCGCCGGGGGUU